rnacentral:rRNA from 1 species
CAAUAGCGUAUAUUAAAGUUGUUGCAGUUAAAACGCUCGUAGUCGGAUUUCGGGGCGAUCCCGCCGGUCUGCCGUUGGGUAUGCACUGGUGGGCGCGUCCUUCCUUCCGGAGACCGUUCCUACUCUUAGCUGAGCGGGGACGGGAGACGGAUCGUUUACUUUGAAAAAAUCAGAGUGUUUCAAGCAGGCAUUUGCUCUUGCAUGGAUUAGCAUGGGAUAAUGAAAUAGGACUUUGGUGCUAUUUUGUUGGUUUCGAACACCGAAGUAAUGAUUAACAGGGACAGUCAGGGGCACUCGUAUUCCGCCGAGAGAGGUGAAAUUCUCAGACCAGCGGAAGACGAACCACUGCGAAAGCAUUUGCCAGGGAUGUUUUCACUGAUCAAGAACGAAAGUUAGGGGAUCGAAGACGAUCAGAUACCGU